UCCCUGGUGGCUCAGAGGGCAAAGUGUCUGCCUGUAAGGCGGGAGACCUCGGUUCGAUCCCGGGGUUGGGAA
rnacentral:tRNA from 1 species